rnacentral:rRNA from 1 species
GACAGAGGCCUCAAGCGUUAGGCGGAAUCACUGGGCUUAAAGCGUGUGUAGGCGGAUCGUUAAGUGUCUUGUGAAAUCCCACGGCUCACCCGUGGAACUGCUGGGCAUACUGGCGAUCUUGGGCCAACUAGGGGCAACUGGAACAAGCGGUGGAGCGGUGAAAUGCGUAGAUAUAGGAAGGAACACCAGUGGCGAAGGCGACCACCUGGACUGAUACUGACACUGAGGUGCGAAAGCGUGGGGAGCAAACAGG